rnacentral:rRNA from 1 species
AGCCUACCAGGCGACGACGGGUAGCCGGCCUGAGAGGGUGACCGGCCACAUUGGGACUGAGAUACGGCCCAGACUCCUACGGGAGGCAGCAGUGGGGAAUAUUGCACAAUGGGCGAAAGCCUGAUGCAGCGACGCCGCGUGGGGGAUGACGGCCUUCGGGUUGUAAACCCCUUUCAGCAGGGACGAAGCGAAAGUGACGGUACCUGCAAAAGAAGCACCGGCUAACUACGUGCCCACAGCCGCGG